UAUGGCCAUAUCACGUUGAAACACUAGUUCCCGUCCGAUCACCGAAGUUAAGCAAUGUUAUGGCUGGCCAGAACAUAGAUUGGUGACCGCUUAGAAAUAUCAGGUGCUGUAAG